UUUUUUUUUUACAUGAGGAAUGGAAAUGUUGUCUCUGCCCUCUCCACAGCUACCUAGUAUCUCUAGACACAGAGAAGUUGUCAGUCUCAAGGUCUGAGUAAUGCCAGAAAAAGAACAAGAUCUCUCUGUGUGGGAAAAAGUUAUGGCCUUCAUUUGCAAGUAAUUUGUAAUGAAUUCUCUGAAAAUAUAUGCUUUUAAGGCUUUUAGCUGAUUUUAAAGUGUGAAGUGCUUAAAUCUCUCAAAGCUCUCUCUCUCUGUGUCUCUCUCUCUGUCUCUCUCUCUCUCUGUCUCUCUCUGUCUCUCUCUCUGUCUCUCUCUCUCUCUCUCUCUGUCUCUCUCUCUCUGUCUCUCUGUCUGUCUUCAACAAAAGAGGACUGUGGUCUGAGUGAUAUUGUCACUGAAAAGCAAGCAAAAUGGGGAUUCUGGGAAGGCUGAUUCUGGAUCCGAAAAUUACAGUGUAGUUCUCAGGUGCAGCUAGGCUCUUCAAAUCACUGCUUCUAUGUGAAUUCACAAAGCCAGAGUUAUUCGGCUGUCUGGAUAGGCACCGGGGAGAGUUCAAGGAGUUAAAACUGAACCCGUGUAGCUCCCAUCGGAAAGAUGAGAUAUAGCUGAUCAAAUGACUUUGCCCAAAACCAAUGGAACACAAAUCUCAACAUGAAGAAUCAAAACAUGACUCAGCCAGAUAAAAGGCACAAGGAGUAAGUACUUUGUGUUAUAGGAAGCAAAGGGUUCAAGGGUCUACAAGGAGCAGAGGAUAUUUCAUGGAGGAAGGGAGCUCUUGUUUAAAAUGCAGUGGAAGAACAACCCAAUGAUCCACAUGAAAGAAAAGAGACACUAAAGGAUGAGUAGGAGCUGUUAUACCACAGUAGGGCCAGGCAGGAAUAGCUUCUGUCCCUAAAUAGCCCACAGGUAUAAUCUACAGACUUCUCAUGGUUCACUAAACAUGACUACUAGGGACCCAGACUUCUCAGGCAGGACAGUUUGAACAGCAUCUGGCACCAGAAGAAACAUCAGCCAAAGUUCAAGGGAGAAGCUAAAGAAUGUCAGAGAAGGCAUUAACUAACUCCAUUGUCCCUCCUGCAGUCUCCUCUCAUGAACUGUGAACAUCUGACAGUGGUAGACUAUGUUUCUGAGAUUACUUUCUGUGUCCCACCUCUGGUGAAUACUGUCAUUCCAAGGUCUGAUAGACGAUGGAAUAGAGCAGCCCAUAUCCUCCACGUUAAGAUAGGACCAUAUUCAGGAAGCAAUUUGUGCCCAGGUGGCAGUUUGAGGUUUCUUGAGAAAUCAUACCUUGGGCUAACUUCUCCUUUCAUCCCCUGAUUCCACUGUCUGUUCCUGGCUUGUAGAUACACUUUCUAAAUUCAUAUUUUCUGAGGCUCCUCCUCUUUGGUUUAUAAAAAUGGUAUUUCAGUAGGAUUGAAGAAAGGGUUAAAGCAGAGGACAAAGACCCUGGAUUUGCUUAAGGUAAGUAAUCAGAUUCCCUUAGAAAAGCAGUGGAUGAAAGUCCCAGGAGAGAGUUUAGAAAUCCAGUUGUUAGACAAUACUUUUAACAGUCAAUCAAUGAAGCAGAUGUUGAGGGAUAUUAUCAGAAUAUCUUUCAAGCAAUACUGAUGUGUCUCCCCCAGGCAUUAAACAUCCUUAACUUUCCAGUUGUUCAAUGGACUCAUCUCAUAAGCACGUUCUACACUACCUCCUGAACACUUGAUAUUAGAGCAGGGGUUUCCUUUGGCUUUCUUCUUGCUUAUGUCCAUUUUCAGCUUCACUACUGAUAUUCCCUGAGAUUGUCUUCCAAAUAACCUGCAGUAAUCCUUGUGUCAGGUUUUUUUUUUUUUUCCUUGAGAAAUCCAAAUGAAGCCCUGUGUCUUCCACAAGACAUCCCAUACUACCAUUACCAUCCUCUGCUGAGAUCGGGAGUCUCAAGAGUCAAUUUGUGUAUGGUACUGAUCUACAGGUUUGGAGCCUGUUCCUGGGGGGAAAUUAUACCUUACUAUAUUUAUGAAUAUUACUAAAGAUGCAUAUUUUUCUUUUCUAAUAUUGUGACUAUGGUCUAAAUAAUGCAAGUACAUUGCAAGUAGAACACAUGUGGAGAAAGGGAAAUUAAGAUUUAUUUUGGGGACUUCAUGGUUGUCCUGUAAGCAGUGGAAUGCUAUGCUGGGAGUCUAUGCUUCAGCAGGUACAGACAGAGCCUUAGUUAUACACAGUGUAUUGUGCAGGAGUCACGCUGCUAUUAUAUAUGGUUUUGACUUUGAGGACCCUACAUCAUGGUCCUGGAAAUAGGAAAGCAUCCCAAUUAGUUAGCUAGAAACUAGUAAAACUAAUUUCAGUAUGUGGCUUUCUCUGAUGCUGUCUCAGGGCUAACCUCUAAGGAGGAACUCCCUUGGUUUAGAGAAAAGAAAAAGUGAUCUUGGAAUAAGUGCACAUACAGACCUCCAGUGUGGUCCAACAGUUGCUAAUGUGGCUGGCUAGCAGGUGCUAGGCUGUAUGAGAUGCAACUGAUUUGUUUUAAAAAAACCGAUCAUCAUUUCAUUCUCUCCCCCAUGCAUCUUUAAUUCCUACUUCUGCAUGUAAGUUUGUCUUAUUGCCACAUCAGAACUAUGAGACGUACUUUGCCAACUCUGCAUGUUGUUCAGUGUUAAAUGUUAGCUAAGCUCACGAUUUAUUAAUUUCACAAGCAGUUAGUGAAUGUCUGUAGUGUACCAGAUUCUGCUUAUAGGAGCAUUGAUGUCUAUUCACCACUGUAACCAUUUAUUAUCUCUUGCCAUAUAAAAAGAAACAUAUGGCACAUGGUUCCAGGAGUUUCUGGUCUAGUAACUAAGAAAAAAAUUUGGUAUAGUAUGUGCCGCAUAGGGGAAAGUUAAAGAAAAGAGGAGUUUAAGUAAACCUGACCUCAAGAAGAUAGUGGGAAUGGGAGCAAUCUGAAUGAAGUUUCAGACCACCAUGGUGGAGAGGAGGCGGCAAAGCAUCUUCCUUCCACAUGGACAGCAGGAAACACAGAGCAGCAUCACUGUACUAGCACAUUCUCUCCCUUUCUCUGUCUGGGACCCAAAACACUGGGAUGGAGGUGCCUGUAUUCUUAUCUCCCUUUAAUAAUAAAUACCUUCACUGACACAACUUGACAUGUGAUUUAACGAUUUCUUAGGCAUCUCCCCAUCCAAUCAAGUUAGGUAACUAAUGUUAACCAUCAUACUCAGUACUCCCUCGGAUUCUACCAGCAAGAGAACCAUCAUAAACUGCAGACUUCAGACUUGGAAUUCAUGAGUCCCAAACAGACUUCAUUUCCAUAUAAAGUUGCCUAGGCUGUGGCAUUACGUUACUAUCUGUGGGAGUCAUCGGAGGCAGUAGUGCUGUUCAAGUUCCAGUAUUCGGACACCAGGACCUCAUAAGAUGGAAGGAGGGCCUUUGAAUCAGGAAGAGAAUCAUAUGUCAUGGCUGGAUGUGGAGAUAAAGAUGGAGUAAGAAAGCUACUGGCUGUCAGCAGAGCUGGAAUGCAGAGACCAGUUGAUAGGUGAGUCAGACAAUGAAGGAUCUCACCCUCAUGCUAUGUAGUCCAGAUUCUUUAGAAGGCAAUGAGGACAAUACAAACAUUUAAAAAAUAUUGUAUUUGUUUUCCUAUGAGUGUACAAUCUGAGUGUGACAGUGUGUGUGUGUGUGUGUGUGUGUGUGUGUGUGUGCUUGUGCGUAUGUAUGUGGGUAAAAGUAAGAAGACAACUUGCAAUAUUUGGUUCUCUUUCACCAUGUGGGUCUUGGUGAUCAGACAAAAAUCACAUUCUAUUGCAGGCCAUUUUACUGACUGAACUAUGUCACUGGCCCAAAACAUUUUUAAAGAGAUUGGUAAUAUAAUAAAAUAAUAUCUUUAUUUUAGUUCCUUCUGGUGUUUCUGAAGAGAUUGAAUUGUGAAGGAAAGGAAGGAAAGGAAGGAAGAAAGGAAGGAAGGAAGGAAGGGAGGGAGGGUAGAGGGAGGAAGAGAGGGAGGGAGGGAGGGAGGGAGGAAGGUGUCAUUUAGGAUAGAGAAAUUGUACAGGGCAAAGUUCAUGCAAAUUAGACCUAGAUAAGUGCAAAUAAAGAGUGUGGAAAGUUGUGCAAGGCACACAACUGUCAUCCCAGUACUGAGAGGCAGAGGAGGAAGUACUGAAAUUCUAAGACAGGCUGGCCUACAUAGCAAGUACCUGGCAUGCGUCAUAAGGGAGUGGGAGGUGAGAAAAUCACCCUCCACCACAUCUUCCUGUCUCAUCAACACUUUGGUCAUUUUUGUAAGACAAACAUUUCCUGUUCAUCCGCUAGCUGGAAAAAGUUGGGUGGGUGCUCACAGUAACCACAAACCACAUCUAAGUAACUGCUGUGCUCUUGAUCAUAUAAAAGCUCCUGCAGACCUGUGCAGUCCAUCAGUUAGUGAGCCGCAUCUCAGAGGUGGUUUCCCUCUUGCAACAGUGUGAGUAAUGCUCCUAUCUUCAUUUAUUUCCUACGACUUUAGCAAGUCGUGCUUGCAAUAGUGUGAGUAAUGUUUUCUGGUUUGGCUUUAGCAGGUGGUGCUGUAACUCAGGAUACGGACCUUGCCCUCAGUUACUCACGUCUUCCACUGGGUAAGAAGGCUGCCUGGAGCUUGAGGGCUCUGUUUCUACCAAAAAUCCCUGGCACAAACUGGUGAGUCUAGGUCCUGAUCCUGUAUUCGAGGCUCUGUUUUGUUGACAGCAGACAAGAGGCCAAGAAGUUGGGAAGGUUUGACAACUCAGAACCCAAUGGAGACCCUCACCAAAGGUGAAAUAAUUGUUGAGCCAGUCAGGAGUCAGGUUUCAAAGAGUUUAACGAGACAGCACCACCACUUGCCUGAAGAGAGCAGGCUGGAAGUCAGCAUACUGUCCAAUCACAGCAAGUUGAAGAAAAACAACAGUUGAGGGGCAGCCAGAAUUUUGUUCAAAUCAUGGCACCAUUACCACUAUAGUAAGUCAUCCAAUCUGGACAGGAACUUGAAAACAUUUUAU